AUUCCAUGAUGUGGACAUCUUCUUAGGAACUCCCUAAAUCUUUACCAAGUUUCAUACAAUGACUCUCCUUCAUGUUGACUAAAACCAAUUAUAUCCAUUGUAAAUUU